rnacentral:rRNA from 1 species
UACGAAGGGGGCUAGCGUUGCUCGGAAUCACUGGGCGUAAAGCGCACGUAGGCGGCUUUCUAAGUCAGGGGUGAAAUCCUGGAGCUCAACUCCAGAACUGCCUUUGAUAGUGGAAGGCUUGAGUCCGGGAGAGGUGAGUGGAACUGCGAGUGUAGAGGUGAAAUUCGUAGAUAUUCGCAAGAACACCAGUGGCGAAGGCGGCUCACUGGCCCGGUACUGACGCUGAGGUGCGAAAGCGUGGGGAGCAAACAGG